GUCAGGAUGGCAGAGUGGUCUAAGGCACCAGACUCAAGGACUCAUAUCUUUCCAAACCCCUUCGGUGUUCUGGUCUCUGAAGGGAGGUGUGGGUUCAAAUCCCACUCCUGAUA
rnacentral:tRNA from 1 species